rfam:Ajellomyces capsulatus H88 supercont1.1 genomic scaffold, whole genome shotgun sequence.
UUUCUAUGAUGAGAAACCUUCUAUUCAGUUCUGCUUCUGCAAAAUCAUUGAAGAGAACCCAUUUACCAAAAAUAACGAUCCUGAUCC